UUCGGGGGAAAGAUUUAUCGGAGAAGGAUCGGCCCGCGUUAGAUUAGAUAGUUGGUGGGGUAACGGCCUACCAAGUCUACGAUCUAUAGCUGGUUUUAGAGGAUGAUCAGCAACACUGGGACUGAGACACGGCCCAGACUCCUACGGGAGGCAGCAGUGGGGAAUCUUGGACAAUGGGCGCAAGCCUGAUCCAGCCAUGCCGCGUGAGUGAUGAAGGCCUUAGGGUCGUAAAGCUCUUUCGCCAGAGAUGAUAAUGACAGUAUCUGGUAAAGAAACCCCGGCUAACUCCGUGCCAGCAGCCGCGGUAAUACGGAGGGGGUUAGCGUUGUUCGGAAUUACUGGGCGUAAAGCGCACGUAGGCGGAUCAGAAAGUUGGGGGUGAAAUCCCAGGGCUCAACCCUGGAACUGCCUCCAAAACUCCUGGUCUUGAGUUCGAGAGAGGUGAGUGGAAUUCCGAGUGU
rnacentral:rRNA from 1 species